rnacentral:rRNA from 1 species
UGGUGUGAUCGUACCAGUACUAAUGCAAUGGAUCCUAUCAAAAGUACACAAUUAAGCGUGCUUGAGCAAAAGUAGUACCAUGAUGGGUGACCUUCUGAGAAGUCUUCGUGUUGCACCCG